rnacentral:lncRNA from 1 species
GAGCAGUGGUGAGCUAUGCAGUUCUAUGCUCGCAGCAAGAGGAGCCCAGCUGUCUGAACAAGCUGCAUGAGCCUCUGCUGCUGGGAACUCAGACUACCUCAUUUUAUGAACUGUGGAUCUCUAUCAGCAGCAGAGUGCCUCAAAGACAUACAAGACAAAGAAUGGCUUUGCUAGCUGAGACUACUAUACACUCCCAGACAGAAGACAGCAGAAGACACCUGGAAAGGUAAGGUUACAUCUUCCUGGGUGUUACCUUUAGCUCAGUGAGAGGAAGCUGAAUGAUUUGUGAAGCAGAGUUGUUUUCUUACAUAUGGCAUAUUGAUAUGCAGAUAUGAUGCCACAACAACAUAAACUUCACACUUACUGAAGCAGCC